GCCCAGGUGUGUGUGAAGGAGAACAUGAUGACCUUGGGUUUUGGCGUGAGGAGCCUCUGAAGGAGGAGGCGCGCCCCCGGCUGGCAGAGGAAGAAGAGCAUCCUGAUCCUGCUGCUUCCACAUUUCAGUCACGCAGCUUUGCUCAGAUUUCAGAUGAGGCAUGGACGAUGUUUUUUUUUCUGUCGCAGACCGUAUCUAAUGAAGAGAAAUCGCGCUUGGCAUCGAUGCUUUUUGCAUUUUAGGGGAUUCAUUGUAGAUAAAUAACCUCUCUGGAUUUAUUGCACCAACAGAGCAUCUGCACCUCGUCGAGAGCGACACAAAACAAGAAUCUCCUGCGGAUCGUUUCAUCAUUUAAAACCUUUUUCAUGCAAAACAAACGAAGAUAAUCAUAAUUUUUUGAUACAUUUGGACUCAGAUCGAUUUGACAUCCAUAUAUUGCGAUGCGUAUCCUCCAAACGCAAUAAUGCUGCGGUGCAGGAGCAGUGAAGCAGCCUGAGAAAAGAUGCUGGACAAUGUGCUGUCUGGGUGGGACAGGACCUUAUCAGUAAUCGAAUUACUCUUUGCAUCGAUGCAUGUUGCAAAUAAAGGGGAUCAUAGAGAAAUAACCGUAUUUUUUGGAUAAUCUGCAUUAAUUGCACACUCGUUGCAAGCGGCAGAAAAACAGACCCCCCUGUGGAUGGUUUCAUUUUUUCUUUUUUUUUACACCUUUGACGUGCGAAGUAUACAACAAAUCUGCAUUAAUUGCACACUGCACCUCGUCGAAAGCGACAGAAAAGCAGACCCCCCCCCCCCCCCUGCGGUUGGUUUCAUGUUUUUUGACACCUUUUUACGUGCAAAAUAUACAAAAAAUUGGACACAGAUUGGUUUGAUAUCGACACACUGCGAUGCAUAUCAUCCAGCAGCAUGAUGCAUGUGAAAUAGCCUGAGAGAAGGUGCUUCUGGACACCGUGCUGUUCCGGUCCCCGGUCCUGAAUGCACGGGAGACAGACACCGACCCGGGUGUCACCGUCAGCCCCGGAUGCUGCGCCGAAGAAUGGGAUACGCCGACCCCUCGUCGGGUAAAGACAUCCUCGGCAAUAGGUCUCUUUGUUUUAUAUUCAUUUGCGCAUUUGGACUUGUCACGCUAUUGCAACAGAUUCUCUAUGGAAAAAACUACAUCAAGAGUGCGCAACAGUUUAACCGACUCAAAGGGGACGAGACAGGAAAUUGGACCGGUCCCGUUAAUUUCUCGGAUGACGGAUCUCUGAAGCCGGCCAGAAAUGGAAGGAAAAGAUGUUUCCGUCAGAAUUUUCAGCCAGAUUCACAGACCAUAAUAGUCACACCCUGCCUAUCCGAUAUUAAGAAGAAACAAAAAAAAAGGUAGGACAGUCUGAAGGCAUUUUUUAGUACUUUCACAGAAACCCAAGAAUGCCUCUUUAUUUUUCAUUACUCUGAAAGGUAUAAACUCUCAUAUUUUUUCAGUGGUGGUUGCACUUCAGAUUUUGCUCUUGCAUGUUGUCUGAUCCCGUCCACCUCGACCUCCCCCCAAAAUCUCCCAUUACCCCCAGAAGCUGGUUGGAAAAAGUCUCCUGUUGAUGUACUGGCUUCUCUCUCCCGUACGUCUGUUUCCAUCCAGCACCCAUUUGCAGAAUGCUCUCAAUCUGUGUGUCAUGUGUUCUGCACAGAUGUGUGUGUAUGCCUGCCAUAGUACUGACACUUCUCUCUGCCCCCCCCCCCUAUCUCCCCCUUCUCACAUCUGCAUUGUCUCUCUCUGCGAACCUAGAUUUUUAACUUUAAUACAAAAAGACA